rnacentral:rRNA from 1 species
GACGAACGCUGGCGGCGUGCCUAAUACAUGUAAGUAUAACGCUUAAGGAGGAGCUUGCUUCUCCGGAUGAGUUGCGAACGGGUGAGUAACGCGUAGGUAACCUGCCUGGUAGCGGGGUAUAACUAUUGGAAACGAUAGCUAAUACCGCAUAAGAGUAGAUGUUGCAUGACAUUUGCUUAAAAGGUGCAAUUGCAUCACUACCAGAUGGACCUGCGUUGUAUUAGCUAGUUGGUGAGGUAACGGCUCACCAAGGCGACGAUACAUAGCCGACCUGAGAGGGAGAUAGGCCACACUGAGACUGAGACACGGCACAGACUGCUACGGGAGGCAGCAGUAGGGAAUCUUCGGAAAUGGACGGAAGGCUGACCGAGCAACGCCGCGUGAGUGAAGAAGGUUGUCGGAUCGUAAAACUCUGUUGUAAGAGAAGAACGAGUGUGAGAGAGGAAAGUUCACAAUGUGAGGGUAUCUUACCAGAAGGAGACGGAUAACUACGUG